rnacentral:lncRNA from 10 species
UUUUUUUUGGAUUUUUAGUAGAGACAGAGUUUCACCAUGUUGGCCAGGCUGGUCUGGAGCUCCUGACCUCAGGUGGUCCACCCACCUCGGCCUCCCAAAGUGCUGGGAUCACAGGCGUGAGCCACCGCGCCCGGCCUGCUUUUCAAAGUGUUGUUUGCACCAAGCCCUGGCGUCCUCUGGAAGCUGAUUAGAAAUGCUGACUCCCAGGCCAGGAGCUGCUCCCGGCUACUCGGGAGGCUGAGGCAGUAGAACCACUUGAACCUGGGAGGUGGAAGUUGCAGUGAGCCGAGAUUGCACCAUUGCUCUCCAGCCUGGGUGACAGAGUGAGACUCUGUUUAAAAAAAAAAAAAAAAAUCUGACUCCCAGGCCCCAGCCAGCCCUCCUGAAUCAGAGUCUGCGUUUUAAACAAGAUGUACAUGGGAGUCUGAGAAACCUUGCUGUUGGGAUCUGUGGAAGCCUACAGCAGCCUUCCAACAAAGAGAACAUGAGUUUCCAGUUGACAAAGUCUGUGCUCAGCUCCUUCACUGAACAUUGCUCUGAGCCAACGCAUGUCAGCGAGAGGACGCGGUGACACCGGCCUGUGGUUGCACCCAGAAACAAACAAGUAGGGAGAGCAGCCCCAGUUCUCCAGAAUGACCUCUUUCCUCCGAAUCCCACUCCAGGAAGAGAGUCCAGCAGGGGCCCCUGAGCUUGGGGCUGGCCCUGUGCGCUGUCAGCAGAGACCCCUGUCCAUCAGCACUUUGCAUGGGUCUGUCCUGCUUCAGUGGGGAAUGUUCCUCAGCAAAAGAACUGAGUGCAAUGCAGGGAUGCCAUCGGAGUUGGCUGGGGACAGCCUGGCUUUGUCAUGUUAGGGGGCAUGGAGGGGCAUGCAGUGCUCAGGGUGGACACCACACACAAGGGUCACACUGAGCUCAGAGGAACAAAUCGCAGGGAGAGAAUGUGCCAAUGGUGCUUUCUCCAAGACACCUCUGACCUGGAACUGCAAACCACCGCUGAUUCCCCUGCCCAGCUCCUCUGUUAGAAUGACCCCGUGGGGCUGCAGAUGACUUAACAGCUAUAUUUAGCAAGUCAUGGGAGGGAUGGGCCAGUUCCAGCCAGCUAGCCUGCCUUCAGAGGCCCUAGAUUCCUUUGUCCUUCCCUUCUGCCUCCCCUCCUAGUUUUUCCCACUGGCUGGCUCUUAACCCCUUCAUGGCUUGAGGACUCCUCUCAAAUAUGGGCAAAGCAGAUAGAACGUAAGGGAGGCCACCCGAGUAUCCCAGCCCCCAAAUUUCUCACUCAGCUGCCUGGAACUCUGCUUUACGAACUCCCUUUCUUCAGUCCUGAACUUUUCUUUUUUUUCAUCAUUAAGUGUUUCCUAAUAAAAUUAUGCAAGUACCCUUGGG